GACGAACGCUGGCGGCGUGCUUAACACAUGCAAGUCGAGCGGUAAGGCCCUUUCGGGGUACGACGAGCGGCGAACGGGUGAGUAACACGUGGGUGACCUGCCCUCCAGCUCUGGGAGUAAGCCUGGGAAACCGGGUCGUAAUACCGGAUAUGACUCCAUGACGCAUGUUGUGGGGUGGAAAGCCUUGUGCGGCUGAGGAUGGGCCCGCGGCCUAUCAGCUUGUUGGUGGGGUGAUGGCCUACCAAGGCGACGACGGGUAGCCGGCCUGAGAGGGCGACCGGCCACACUGGGACUGAGACACGGCCCAGACUCCUACGGGAGGCAGCA
rnacentral:rRNA from 1 species